CUCCCUAAUUUUUCAAGGACAUACCCAAUAGAAAAUUUUGACAGCAAUACCCGACUUUUAUAUUUUCCCUGCAACUGUCCACUUUUGGACGUUAACUGCCACUGAGGACUAUGUGAUGACGAUGUGGCAUCACAUUAUUUAUCCACGUGUUUGCUCACAUAUAAAAAAUAAAUAAUUUGUAUUUCUAAUAAUCAUUAAAUAUUAAAAAAUAAUUAAAAUUGAUCUUAAAAUAAAAAAACAAGUAAUCCUACAUGUUAAAUAGAAAACAAAACACACACAUUUCCCAAAAGAAGAAAAAAAUUUGAACCCAGCCUUUAAUCUUUUGCGAAAAAGAAAACCUUUCAUCUUUAAUCCAAAUUCCCCAAAGGUGGUUGUCGCGAGUAGAGAAGGAUGAUAGAUUUCGUGGAUUGAACAAGAAUGGACUAGUCGUAGCUUCAAGAACAAUAACCAAAAAAAAAUUAAAAUCCAGAUGUGUCUUGCACAUCCUCCUUUGCCGAGCUUUGCCAGACAAAUGGAGCUUUGGAGCUGGGGGUCGACGAAUGGAGUGGACUGGCGGUCAACGAACGAAGCUUUAGAGAUGGGUUGGGCGUCGACGAACGGAGCUUCGAAGUUGGGAGUUGAUCUGCCCAUGGCCUAUCGUCUUCGUGUGUCACCCUGCCACCUGCAAACUCCGACGGCGAAGAGCAACCGCGAUAUGCGAUAUCCACCUGCGAAAAGAAGAUCCAUAAAACGUGUUAGGCUUCUUUUAUUGUGGUCGUCCGGUCGCUGAGUCGAUGAGUCCAACACUAGUGAGUCUAUGUCGAGCAGAGAGAGACGUUGAGGAAGAAAGCUUGAAGGUGGAAGACCAACCAUUUUUUUAAUAGAGUUGAGGAAGACGAAGAGAUGGGUCAACGAAAUAAGAUUUAGGGUUUUUAGUAAUUUUGUUCAAAACAAAAAAUAUAUAAAUUUAAUAAUUUUUUUAAUAUUAUUAAUUUUGUGGUGAAAUUAGAAAAAAAAAUCUAUGUCAUUAAGUAAGUAACGCAUCAGCAACUACGUGGAUAAAUGAAUAUAUGCCACAUGGACUCUCGUGGACGGCAAGGAAAAUGUAACAGUGGAUGAUAUUGUGGUCAAAAAUUUUUAUUGGAGUUAUAUAA